GUGGAUUAGAUACCCUAGUAGUCCACGCCGUAAACGUUGGGCGCUAGGUGUGGGGGGUCUUCCACUCCCUCCGUGCCGCAGCAAACGCAUUAAGCGCCCCGCCUGGGGAGUACGGCCGCAAGGCUAAAACUCAAAGGAAUUGACGGGGGCCCGCACAAGCGGCGGAGCAUGUGGCUUAAUUCGACGCAACGCGAAGAACCUUACCAAGGCUUGACAUGCAGGGAAAUCUCAUAGAGAUAUGGGGUCCGUAAGGGUCCUGCACAGGUGGUGCACGGUCGUCGCCAACU
rnacentral:rRNA from 1 species